UACGUAGGGUGCGAGCGUUAAUCGGAAUUACUGGGCGUAAAGCGUGCGCAGGCGGUUUGUUAAGACAGAUGUGAAAUCCCCGGGCUUAACCUGGGAACUGCAUUUGUGACUGGCAAGCUAGAGUAUGGCAGAGGGGGGUAGAAUUCCACGUGUAGCAGUGAAAUGCGUAGAUAUGUGGAGGAACACCGAUGGCGAAGGCAGCCCCCUGGGUCAAAACUGACGCUCAUGCACGAAAGCGUGGGGAGCAAACAGG
rnacentral:rRNA from 1 species